rnacentral:rRNA from 1 species
CCUACGGGUGGCUGCAGUGGGGAAUAUUGCACAAUGGGGGAAACCCUGAUGCAGCAACGCCGCGUGAGCGAAGAAGGCCUUCGGGUGUUAAACCUCUUCCCUAGGGGAGGAAGCAUGACGGUACCUUGGGGGGAAGCCCGGGCAAACUACGUGCCAGCAGCCGCGGUAAUACGUAGGGGGCGGGCGUUAUCCGGAAUCCCUGGGCGUAAAGGGUGCGUAGGCGGCCGAUUAAGCCAGGGGUGAAAGGCUACGGCUCAACCGUAGUAAGCCCUUGGAACUGAUUGGCUUGAGUGCAGGAGAGGAGAGUGGAAUUCCUAGUGUAGCGGUGAAAUGCGUAGAUAUUAGGAGGAACACCAGUGGCGAAGGCGACUCUCUGGACUGUAACUGACGCUGAGGCACGAAAGCGUGGGGAGCAAACAGGAUUAGAUACCCGAGUAGUC